UUUCCGUAGGUGAACCUGCGGAAGGAUCAUUAUCGAGUUAGGGUCCUCGUGGCCCGACCUCCAACCCUUUGUCUACUUAACCACGUUGCUUCGGUGGGCCCGCGAGAGCCGCCGGGGGACCUUCGGGAUCCCUGGCCAGCGCCCACCGGUAGCCCCCUCAAAAUUCUUGAUUAACUGUGUAUUGUCUAAGUCAAAAUUAAAUAAAAGCAAAAAACUUUCAACAACGGAUCUCUUGGUUCUGGCAUCGAUGAAGAACGCAGC
rnacentral:misc_RNA from 1 species